rnacentral:lncRNA from 10 species
CAUCUGGCUUCUACAGGGAACCCUGAAAGCCAGAGAGCCAGAGCUGGCCGGGCAGGGCCCCUCGGCUGCAAGCCACCUGCGCAGAUCCUCCCCGCGUCCUAUAUGAGGUUGUCUGUGUUUCACUUGGAAAAGUGUGAGAAUUCUUUCUAUGCCGUUCCUGCAUCCUUAGCCAACUAUUGGCAUUGCAAAUAUUUUUGCACAGUGACCUGUCCUUUGACCUUGUUUAUGGUGUUUCUGGUUGGACGGAAGUUUUUGGUUUUAAUGGAGCCAAAUGUAUUCCUUUUCUGUGCUUCGUGCUUUGGGGCCUUUUUUUCUUUUUGAGACAGUGUCUCUCUCUCUCUGCCCAGGCUGGAGUGCAGUGGCCAUCCACAGGCACAAUCCUAGCUCACUGCACCCUGGAACUCCUGGGCUCAAGCAAUCCUCUUGCCUCAGCCUCCCGAGUAGCUGGGACCCCAGGGGCCUGCCACAACACCCAGAUAAUUUUUGUACUUUUUGUGGAGACAGAGUUUUGCAAUGUUGGCCAGGCUGGUCUCGAACUCCUGAGCUCAGGUGACCCUCCUGCCUUGGCCUCCCAAAGUGCUGGGAUUAGAAGCGUGAGCCACUGCACCCGGGUGGGAUCUUGUUGAGAACUUCCUCCUUGCUCUGUGGAAUUGUAUUGGUACUGGGAGGUGUCCAGGAGAUAGAUCAGCAGUGACAGGCUCGGGGCUGGGAGGGGCUGUGCCUUAUGAUGUGAGUGUGGCGCCGAGCUCCCUGACAUGGGAAUGGGAUGCUGGUUGCCCACUGCAUGCCAUGGUGCCGUCUGUCCUCAGGCUGUCACCCCUGGCUGGUGACAGUGACAGCGGAAACAUUGACCUUGGGAGCCCAAGAGCUGCUGCACUUGACCGCUAGAGCACAAUCAGGACUUGAGUAUUCUGUAUCCCUCGGAGCCUGUUCCUGAGAUGGGCACCACACAGCAGUUUGAGCAGGGAAGUGUAAUAUGAAGAAUGAUUCAGUGCCACGGGGAAUGGGAGUUAGAAGGGGCUGGCUAGUAAGAAGUACAGAGAGCUCUGAAGAAUGCAGCAGCGGCAGGAAUGACACGUCUAUAGAACACUAGCGGGUGUCCUGCCAUGUAAGGCGGAAGAGCCCCUCCCUGGGCUGAGGCAAGUGCUCACAGCAGACCUCCCCUCCUGGGCAGCUCGCUCCUGCAGCAGAGAAGCCAGUGGGUGCAGAGACUGCUGGACACGAGCCCUCUGAGAUGCAGGAGAAGUUGCUCACAGGGAGGUGUCGCACGGGUGAUACUCCCUUACCAAACCGCCCCGGGGGUUCGGGCACAGCUGCCCCUUCCCGUGGCUGGCCCCAUGCUCCACAGGAGCUGAGCGCUGGGGCAGUGGCCUCCCUGCAGGAGCCUGGCCCUGGAGAUCCUACAGCCCACGGAGCAGAGGGGCUCCCUCCUUCGGUGCGUCUCACUGCUGUCUUCUGACCACACCCCAGGACCCACCAGCAGAGGAAGGUAUUCAGGGGGCUCACAUCCAUUUUCACACACCAGGAAAAACAGCUGAACUUGGAGAGGUAAAAAAAGCCAAAAAACAAAAAGCACAUGAGGGGCACAAAGAUCUCACAUGUUUGCUGUGAGUGACCUUCUCACCCCAUUCCGGUCCAUGUGUCUUAACCCCGGUUUCACAUUUUCUGUCUCUUUUAUGUCUCGAUGGUGCAUUGAUUUAUCUCCCAGUUCAUUCUUUCUCUAUCCCUCAUUGGCUGUUAAAACAUCCGCCGACUUUGUCACAACAGCGAUGGUCUUCGCUUUGUCUCCUGCACUCUGUUCCAGGUGCGCCUGUUCCUUCUCUGCAGUGUCUUGCCUUCUUCUUAGGAGUUCCUGUUUCCCACAAAUGCUGAGACAGACACAAACCCCCUAGCAAUAACAAACCAGCAGUGGAAUCAAGAAUAGCAACCAUGGAAGCCAGAAGAGGGUGGAACGAGGUUUCACAACUGUGGCUGAUCCUGUCUCCUGGGCCAAAAGCCUGGGAGGUGGGCAGACUGCUAGAGAUGGCAAUGAGAAGGCAGCUUGAGGCCAGCUUCCUAAGUUCUGUUCAUGCUGCACCUACCCCUGCCACACACACAUUCCCUUGGGGUAGUCAGUGUCUGCCUCUUCAUUGAAGAGCUUGGGGGCAGUAGCCCAGGUCCUAGUGCAGGGGUCCUUGGGUGACACUGGGGACUAAUGCAAGAUGUUAAUAAUAGAGGAGACUCUGGGGGCAGGGUGAAGGUGUGUGUAUGAAACAUGAUAAAAAUAAAAUUUAAAAAAUGAAAAGUAAAAAUGCAAGAAGGACCACAUGGAAAUUUUAGAAUUGAAAAGUACAAUAACUGAAAUAAGAAAAAUUCCCUGGAUCGUCUCAAUAGCGUACAAUGGAGAUAAGAGGAGAAGAGUGACCUUGAAGAUCAAUAGAAAUUAUCCAAUCUGAACAACAGAGAGAAAAGUGAUGGACCAAAAAUGAAGGGAACCUUAGGGCCCACGACACCAACAGUCAGAUUAUCAGACUUCCAGAAGAAGAGGAGACAGUGGAUGGUAUAGGAAGAUUCAAUAAAUAACAGCUCAAAUUGCUUGAAUCUUGGCAAAGACAGAAACUUACAGAUUCAGAUAUGAACACAAAACAGGAUAAACAAAGAGAAAUCCAUGUUGAUGAAGAAACAUCCUAAUCAAGCUGCUGAAAGACAAGAACAUCUGAGGCCAGCCAGAACAAAAAUGCUGUAGACAUAUGGAAGAGCAAGGAUUUGAAAGACAAUGGAUUUCUCACCAGAAACCAUGGAAGUCGGGGAGCAAUGGAGCAAAAUUUUUUAAAUGCUGAAGAAAAAGGAAUGGUCAAUAUGAAUUCUAUAUCUAGUGAAAACAUUCUUUGGGAAUUUAGCUGGAAUAAAGGCAUCCUCAGAUGAAGGAGGACUUGGAUGUAAUUCUUACACCUUAUAUAAAAGCUAGCUCAGACUUUAUCUAAACAUAAAAUGCAAACCUAUCACACUUUUAAUAUCAGAGAAAAAUCCCUGUGACCUGGCAAGAGGUCUUACAUAUGACACCAAAAGCUCAAUCAAUGGGAAGACAACUUUGUUCUGCAAAAGAUAUUCUUGAAAGAAUUAGAAGAACAGCCAUGACAAUAGCCAGCAAGGAAUUCUCGAACCAUUGUUGGUGAGAAUGCAAAACAGAGCAGCUGCUCUGGAAAAUUGUUUGUCAUUUUCUUACAAAGUUAAAGAUACACUCACCUUAUGCCCUAGCAGUUCCACUCCUAGGCAUUUGCCCUAGAGACAUGAAGAUGUUUCUACACAAACUCAAGCAUGAAUGUUUAUAUCAGCUUUUUUCAUAGUUGUCAAAAACUGGAUAUAACUCAAAUGUCCUUCUGUGAGUGAAUAGAUAAACUAUAGUACACCCAUACAAUGGAAUUCUACUCAAGAAUUGGAAAGAGAUGGGCUGGCCAUGGUGGCUCAUGCCCGGAAUCCCAGCACUUUGGGAGGCCAAGGCAGGAGGACCGCUUGAGCCCAGGGAUUUGAGACCAGCCUAGGCAACAUAGCAAGACCCCAUCUCAAAACAAAAUAAAACAGGCCAGGCACAGUGGCUCAUCCCUAUGAUCCCACACUUUAGGAGGCUGAGGUGGGAGGAUUGCUUGGGCCCAGGAGUUUGAGAUGAGCUUGGGCAAUAUAAUGAGAACUUGUCUCUACAAAAACCUUAAAAAAUUAGUUGGGCAGGGUGGUGUGUGUCUAUAGUCCCAGAUACUAGGGAGGCUGCAGUGGGAGGAUCACUUGAGCCUGGGAGAGUGAGGCUGCAGUGGUCUGUGGUUGCGCCACUGCACUCCAGCCUGGGCAACAGAGUGAGACCCCGGCUCAGAAAAAGGAAGGAUGGGUGCACAGCACCGGGAUGGAUCUGAGCAGCGUGAAUGCUGAGGGGUGGGGGCCAUCCCAAGGGGCUGCACCCUGCGUGAUUCCAUGGACAUGGCAUUCUGGAAACAGGAAAAGUGCGGUGCAGUCAUUUGCUGCAUCCCCAUCUAUUAGCCAGUGAUGGACCAUGUGCUGCAUCCACUCCUGUUAGACGGUGAUGGACCAUGUGCUGCGUCCCCUCCUGUUAGCUGGUGAUGGACCAUGUGCUGUAUCCUCGCCUGUUUGCCAGUGAUGGACCAUGUGCUGCAUCCCCGCCUGUUAGCCAGUGAUGGACCAUGUGCUGCAUCCCCGCCUAUUAACCGGUGAUGGACCAUGUGCUGCAUCCCCGCCUGUUAACUGGUGAUGGACCAUGUGCUGCAUCCCCGCCUGUUAGCCAGUGAUGGACCAUGUGCUGCAUCCGCUCCUGUUAGACAGUGAUGGACCAUGUGCUGCGUCCCUUCCUGUUAGCUGGUGAUGGACCAUGUGCUGUAUCCUCGCCUGUUUGCCAGUGAUGGACCAUGUGCUGCAUCCCCGCCUGUUAGCCAGUGAUGGACCAUGUGCUGCAUCCCCGCCUAUUAACCGGUGAUGGACCAUGUGCUGCAUCCCUGCCUAUUAACCGGUGAUGGACCAUGUGCUGCAUCCCCUCCUGUUAGCCAGUAAUGGACCAUGUGCUGCAUCCCCUCCUGUUAGCCAGUGAUGGACCAUGUGCUGCGUCCCCUCCUGUUAGCCAGUGAUGGACCAUGUGCUGCAUCCCCUCCUGUUAACCGGUGAUGGACCAUGUGCUGCAUCCCCUCCUGUUAGCCAGUGAUGGACCAUGUGCUGCAUCCCCGCCUAUUAACCGGUGAUGGACCAUGUGCUGCAUCCCCUCCUGUUAGCCAGUGAUGGACCAUGUGCUGCAUCCCCUCCUGUUAGUGAUGGACCAUGUGCUGCAUCCCCGCCUGUUAGCCAGUGAUGGACCAUGUGCUGCAUCCCCGCCUGUUAGUGAUGGACCAUGAGCUGCAUCCCCACCUGUUAGCCAGUAAUGGACCAUGUGCUGCAUUCCCGCCUGUUAGCCAGUGAUGGACCAUGAGCUGCAUCCUCGCCUGUUAGCCAGUGAUGGACCAUGUGCUGCAUCCCCGCCUGUUAGCCAGUGAUGGACCAUGUGCUGCAUCCCCGCCUGUUAGCCAGUGAUGGACCAUGUGCUGCAUCCCCGCCUGUUAGCCAGUGAUGGACCAUGUGCUGCAUCCCCGCCUGUUAGCCAGUGAUGGACCAUGUGCUGCAUACCCUCCUGUUAGCCAAUGAUGGACCAUGUGCUGCGUCCCCUCCUGUUAGUGAUGGACCAUGAGCUGCAUCCCCGCCUGUUAGCCAGUAAUGGACCAUGUGCUGCAUCCCCGCCUGUUAGCCAGUGAUGGACCAUGUGCUGCGUCCCCUCCUGUUAGCCAGUGAUGGACCAUGUGCUGCAUCCCCGCCUGUUAGUGAUGGACCAUGAGCUGCAUCCCCGCCUGUUAGCCAGUAAUGGACCAUGUGCUGCAUCCCCGCCUGUUAGCCAGUGAUGGACCAUGUGCUGCAUCCCCUCCUGUUAGUGAUGGACCAUGUGCUGCGUCCCCGCCUGUUAGAUGGUGAUGGACCAUGUGCUGCAUCCCCUCCUGUUAGACGGUGAUGGACCAUGUGCUGCGUCCCCGCCUGUUAGCCAGUGAUGGACCCCAUGUACAAUGGUGGCCUUGUAAGAUUGCAAUGGAGAUGAAAGUGUCUGUCAUCUAGUGACAUCCUAGCGGCCAUUUCUCCCAUGUGUGGUGACACUGGCGUAAGCAACCCUACUGCACUGCCAGUCUAUAAAAUCAAGCUCAUAUAGUUAUGCACAUUACAUAAUACUUAAUAAUAAAUGACUCUGUUACUGGCUUAUGUGUUUACUGUACAAUACUUUUGUUAUUUUAGAGUAUACCCUUUCUACUUAUAUAGAAAAAGGUGAACUGCAAAACAGCCCCAGGCAGGGCUUUCAGGAGGGGUCCAGAAGAAGGUAUUGCUGCCCUAGGAGGGGACAGCUCCAUACAUGCCACCGCCCCUGAGGACCUUCUAAUGGGACAAGACGUGAAGGCGGAAGACAGUGAGGUGGGUGAUUGUGACCCUGUGCAGGCCUAGGCUACUGUGUGUGUGUGUGUGUGUGUAUAUAUAUGUUAGCUUUUAAGAAAAAAGUUUAAAAAGUAAAAAAAAAUAAAUAAAUUUUAAAAUAGAAUGAAGCUUAUAGGAUAGGGAUAUAAUAAAGGAAAAUAUUUUUGUAC